AAACCAGCACCUCAAGUGGUCAGGAGGAUUAUUGGGCCUAAAGCAUCCGUAGCCUGUUCUAUAAGUUUCCGGUUAAAUCCAUUAGCUCAACUAAUGGGCCGCCGAAAAUACUGUAGAACUAGGGAGUGGGAGAGGUAGACGGUAUUCGGUAGGAAGGGGUAAAAUCCUUUGAUCUAUUGAUGACCACCUGUGGCGAAGGCGGUCUACCAGAACACGUUCGACGGUGAGGGAUGAAAGCUGGGGGAGCAAACCGGAUUAGAAACCCGGGUAGUCC
rnacentral:rRNA from 1 species